AGACCAACUAAGUUUGUUCUUGGUAUGAGCAUGCACACAAAAGCUCAUACCAAGAACAAACUCAGGUGGUCU